UACGUAGGUGGCAAGCGUUGUCCGGAAUUAUUGGGCGUAAAGCGCGCGCAGGUGGUUUCUUAAGUCUGAUGUGAAAGCCCACGGCUCAACCGUGGAGGGUCAUUGGAAACUGGGGAACUUGAGUGCAGGAGAGAAGAGUGGAAUUCCACGUGUAGCGGUGAAAUGCGCAGAUAUCAGGAAGAACACCCGUGGCGAAGGCGGCUCUCUGGGACGGUACUGACGCUGAGACGCGAAAGCGUGGGGAGCGAACAGG
rnacentral:rRNA from 1 species